rnacentral:rRNA from 1 species
AUUGAACGCUGGCGGCAUGCCUUACACAUGCAAGUCGAACGGCAGCACGGGAGCAAUCCUGGUGGCGAGUGGCGAACGGGUGAGUAAUACAUCGGAACGUGCCCAAUCGUGGGGGAUAACGCAGCGAAAGCUGUGCUAAUACCGCAUACGAUCUACGGAUGAAAGCAGGGGAUCGCAAGACCUUGCGCGAAUGGAGCGGCCGAUGGCAGAUUAGGUAGUUGGUGAGGUAAAGGCUCACCAAGCCGUCGAUCUGUAGCUGGUCUGAGAGGACGACCAGCCACACUGGGACUGAGACAC